GAUGAACCAACAGAAAAAGUCUUUCAAACACUAAGCCUAAACACAAGAAGUAGUGAGCCAUCUAGUUCAAAUUCCAAACAUAAAAAGAACUGGAAAGGUAAAGGCAAUUAAGAAGUGGGAGGGUAGAUUAGACCAGUCAGGAAAAAGAAAAAAAAAGAGGAGGCAGUAGUUCAAAUUAUUCGAAGUGUUCUAUCUGUGAUAGGAUUCAUAUAGGUGAAUGUUGGUUUAAGGGGAAACCAAAAUGUUCAAUUUGUAACAAGUUCGGUCAUGUCAAGAAGGAUUGUGACUGCAAGAGAAAUCAACUGGCUAGCUGCAGUGAAGAACAAACUGAUACUAGUAUGUUAUGUGUCACUUAUGCUGCAACCACGGCGGUGAAUGAGAAUUUGUGGCUUGUUGAUAGUGCUUGCAGAAAUCAUAUGACUGCAAAUGCCAACCUUCUCUAUGACAUUGACUACAACAUCAUUACAAAGGUGAAGAUGGCAAAUGGAAUGUUGGUGGAUACAAAAGGCAAAGGAAGUGUUGUUGUUGAAACCAAAAAUGGAAAAAUGUUCAUCAGAGAUGUAAUGCUUAUUCCAAAUCUUGAUUCGAAUUUGCUAAGUGUUGGACAACUCGUUGAGCAUAAAUAUCACUUGCAUUUUGGUGAUGACACUUGUAAAAUCUUUGAGAGAGGGAGUAGCAAGAAGCUGAUGGUGGAAGUUGAAAUGAAGAGGAACAUAAGUUUUCCUCAGACUCUCAAGUAUGCAACUGAGAAUGCAAGAAAAAUGGAGCUGCAGGAAGAUCCUUGGCUCUGGCAUCAAAGGCUUGGACAUUUGAAUUUUCAAAGUCUGAAGCUACUGGAUCAGAAUGAAAUGGUGCAGGGAUUGCCAAAAAUUAAAGAAGUUACUGAAGUGUGUGAAAGAUGUGCACUUGGAAAGCAGCACAUUAUCUCAUUUCUAAAAGGGAAGGCAUGGAGAGCAAAAACACCACUAGAGUUGGUCCAUUCUGAUGGCUGUGGUCCUAUGAAAACAAUUACUGAGGGAGGUAACAGAUAUUUCCUUACAUUCAUUGAUGAUUGUUCAAGAAUGACUUGGGUUUAUUUCUUGAGGCAAAAAUAUGAUGUGUUCAUUGUGUUCAAGAAGUUUCAAGCUAUAGUAGAGAGACAAUCUGAUCUCAAAAUCAAGAACCUUAGAUCAGAUAGAGGUGGUGAAAACACAUCAAAUGAGUUUGGAGAUUUUUGUGCAGAUAUUGGUUUGGGAAGGCAGCUUACAGUAAGUUACACACCGCAGCAAAAUGGGGUAGCUGAAAGGAGAAAUAGAACAAUCGUCGAAAUGGCAAAGUCUAUGCUAGAUGCCAAGAAAGUGCCUCUAGAAUACUGGGGAGAAGCAAUUAAUACUACGGUGUAUUUGAUGAACACACAUCCAACUACUACAGUGCAAGGAAUGACAUCAUUUGAAACAUGGAGUGGAAGGAAGCCAAGUGUUAAUCACUUGAGGGUGUUUGGUUCAAUCUGCUAUGCACAUAUCCCAAAAGUGUUUAGGAAGAAGCUUGAUGAAUCAAGUGAGAAGUCUGUGUUCAUGGGAUACAGCGUGCACACAAAGGGCUAUAGGCUCUAUAAUCUGAAAAAGAAGAAAAUUGUUAUCUGCAAAGAUGUUCUCUUCAGUGAGAAUUCAUCUUGGGAUUGGAAUCAAGGUUCAGUUCUGCAACAAUGUGUGCCAGAUAAUGUUGUUUGAGAUGAAUAUGUUCCAGAAGAGUUGGAACUUAAUCCACCGCAACAAAGUCCGCCUCACAGUCCUAAACAACCCUCACCAGUACAUUCAAAAAUGCUCAAUCUACACCAAGCUCAACACCAAUAAGAAUGAGAAGUUUGAAUGAAGUGUAUGAAAGCUGCAAUGCAUGAUUAUUUGAGCUUGAAAGAUUUGAAGAAGCUGUGAAAGAAGAUGACUGGCAGAUUGCGAUGAAAGAAGAAAUUGAUGUGAUUGUGAAAAACAACACAUGGGAACUUGUUGAUAAACCAAACAACAAGGAUGUCAUUGGUUUGAAGUGGAUUUACAAAACUAAGCUAGAUGCGGAUGGUUCUGUGCAAAGAAACAAAGUAAGAUUGGUGGAAAAAGGGUAUUCACAGAUACCUGGAGUUGAUUUCAAUCAAACUUUUGCACCAGUUGCAAGACAUGAGACAAUCAGAGGUCUGAUUUCCAUUGCAGCACAAAAAGGCUGGUUUUUGCACCAGCUAGAUGUCAAAUCGGCGUUUCUAAAUGGAGUGCUGAAAGAAGAAGUAUUUGUGGAGCAAUCACAAGGUUUCAUCAUCAAGGAAAUUUACAAGCUGAAGAAGGCUCUUUAUGGUUUGAAACAUGCCCCAAGAGCUUGGUAUGGUGAGAUCGAUUCCUAUUUCACAGAAAGAGGGUUUCAAAGGAGUGAAAAUGAACCUGCUCUCUACACCAAAACUGAAGGUAAAUCAAACAUACUUAUUGUCUCCUUAUAUGUUGAUGAUUUAAUAUUUAUUGGAAGUUGUGAGAAGAUGAUUUCAAAUUUCAAGUCUGAUAUGAUGAGGAAAUAUGAAAUGAGUGAUUUGAGAAUCUUGCAUUAUUUUCUAGGAAUUGAAAUUGUUCAAGCAGUAGAGGGAAUCUUUAUUACUCAGAAGAAAUAUGCAAAGACAAUUCUAGAGAAGUUCAAAAUGCUUGGUUGCAAUUCUGUUGCAACACCUCUAGUUGUCAAUGAAAAUUUUUCAAAAGAAGAUGAAAAUGGUAAUGUUGAUGAGAGUUUAUACAAAAGUUUAGCGGGAAGUUUGCUUUACUUGACGGCAACAAGACCUGAUAUUAUGUAUGCUGCAAGUUUGAUGUCCAGAUUUAUGCACAACCCUACCAAGAUUCACUAUGGAGCUGCGAGGAGAAUCCUAAGAUACAUUCAUGGUACAAUGGACUUUGGAAUUAUGUAUAAGAGGAAUGUGGAACCAAAACUCUUUGGCUUUUGUGAUAGUGAUUGGGGAGGAAGUGUUGAUGAUUUAAAAAGCAUAUCUGGAUAUACUUUAACACUUGGAACUGGUGUAUUCUCCUAGGCUUCAAAGAAGCAAAAAUCAGUAGCCUUAUCUACAGCUGAAGCAAAGUAUGUAUCUGCAUCAAUAUCCACUUCACAAGCAAUUUCGCUCAGAAGAGUCAUUGAAGACUUUGGUGAGAAGCAAGUAUCUGCAACAACCAUUCUUAGUGAUAACAAGUCUGCAAUUGCCAUGAGCAAGAACCCUGUGUAUCAUAGUAGGGCAAAACAUAUUGCCAUGAAGUUUCACUACAUCAGGGAUGUAGUCUACUCACAUAUGAUAGGACCGCUAAAUAAGACUAUAAUAGCAACUCACAUAUGAUGAAGACCGCUAAAUAAUGGCUAGCUAACAAUAAAUAUAUAUAUAUAUAUAUACCGAUCGGUUGCCUCCUAGGCUAUAACAGCGUCCCACGCUACACACUCUACUCACAUAUGAAGAAGACCGCUAAAUAAGACUAUAAUAGCGACUCACAUAUGAUGAGGACCGCUAAUAAGGUUAGCUAGCAGUAAUCAAUAUAAAACAACCCUUUUAUGGUGAAGUACAAUAUUAAAAUAAAAAUAUCCACACUUCCCCAAAAAUUAUAAUAAACUCAUAGCGCACAGUACAGUUCCCAACUGUACUUGGAAAUAAUAAAAAUCACUUGACACGUCCCACGUGUCAACUAAAAUUAGGAAGAGAGUUCCGGAAAAAUAAGUGGAACUCGUUAAUCCAACAAAAUAAUAUAUCUCCAAAUGCAUUUGAAAUUAAAUAACUUUAGCGCAUGCAUGAUAAUAAAAUCAAAGGUCCACUCACAGUGCUCGGCUAUGCUUGCCGACGACCCGAGGUUUCCUCCAAAUGAUCCUCCUCACGUCCUGAACAACAAAUAAUUAUUAAGCCUCCAAACUAGUAUAAUACUUUAAUAAAAUUUCUGAAAUAAAAUGGAGCCUAUAAUUUCAUCUCUCUUGCCCAACUUCUCCACUUUUAAUCUAGUAAGGCUCACAUCACUCCGCACUUACCGAAAGCCAUAAUUUAACCUCUUUAGAAUUUAAAACCUGCUAAACCAACUGCCGAAAUUCCAAACAAACAACCGCCACAAACCUUAACCAAUGAAAAAUCCCAAACCUUAUCAAAACUCCUCCAAAAAUUCCAAAUUAUACUUCAUUAAACGCCUCUCAUGAAAACAAACCCAAAGAUAUGAAAAACUGCCCCUAAGGGGCAGCGCCGCCGCCUGCUCCGGCGGCCGGCAGCCGUAUUCCAGCGACCUCCAAUGCUUCUCAAAUUUUAGCACAACACUCCUCUCAACUAGCACAACAACUUCCUUAACUAGCACAAAGUUCAUUUCUAAGGCUAACUAAGGUAAUCGAACCAAAACUUCCAUAAAUCCCUAAAAUUUCAAUUAUACAUUUCUCCAUAACAACAACGAAAUAAACUAAUUCCUUUUGAGGAAUUACUCACCUUGAUGAGGGCUACAAGAUGAGUCAAAGAUUUUGACCUAUGGCGGCCGAAGGUGGGAUUUCCGUCGAAAAGCUUCCCGGCGUCUCCGGCGGGUUUUCUCCUCUUCCGGCGGGUUAGAUACUCGAGCACUAGGCCGGGGAGGGAGAGGAGGUGGCGGGGGUCUGAACUGGGGUGGUCCGGUGGUCCCUGGCGGCGGCGGGACAGCGGCGGACGAAGGCUUGAUCUCCGGUGGGUAGGGGUGCACGUGUGAGAGAGAGAGGGAGAGAUGGGUGAGGGUGAGAGGGAGAGAGUGGGGGACUGCUGGGCUGCCAACAUACCCGGUCCAAACUUAACCCAACUGAAAAUUAUACCCACUAAAAAUUACCCCCUUUUUACCACCUCAAAAAUUUACUCUUUAAUUAAUAACUUUUCCAUGCUAACUCCGAUUUUAACACAUAACAUGUCUACGAACUCGUAUUAACGUCCUCUACAACUUUUAUGAAGAAAGUUUCUCCAAAUUCUAAACGGAAUAGAAAGUCAACUUUAGGGUCCUUAGGUAGUAAACGGUUACUCAAUACGGUAAAAGACCAAAAUAAUACCAAAGUAAAUAACCGUAAAAUAACUUAAGAACCGGGGUGUGACAAUUCUCCCCUCCUUACAAAAAUUUCGUCCUCGAAAUUUACAUACCUGUCAAUCAAAGAGAUAAGGAUAUUGCUGCCUCAUUUGCUCUUCUGGUUCUCAAGUGGCUUCCUCUAUUUGAUGACUCCUUCAUAAAACUUUAACCAGUGGGAUCGUUUUGUUCCUAAGCACUUGCUCCCUCCGAUCAAGAAUCUGAACCGGUUCCUCUUCAUAGGUCAAAUCUUUCUUCAAACUUAUCGGCUGCUCUUCCAAGACAUGAGAGGGAUCGGCAAUAUACUUGCGUAGCAUAGAUACAUGGAAAACACUAUGUAUCCGAGACAGCUCUGAAGGUAGCUCCAAUUGAUAAGCAAUUGUGCCAACCCGCUCUACAAUCUCAUAAGGACCAAUAUACCUCGGGCUAAGCUUUCCCUGUUUACCAAAACGCACUACUCCCUUCCAAGGGGAUAAUUUCAAAAAUACCCGAUCACCCACUUGAAACUCAAGGUCCUUUCUGCAGUUAUCUGCAUAACUCUUCUGCCUAUUUUGAGCUGCUUUGAGCCUAUCUCUAAUCAUCUUGAUCUUCUCAUUUGUAUCCUGGAUAAUCUCUGGACCACAAAAUUCUUUUUCUCCCACCUCAUUCCAACAUAGAGGUAUACGACACUGCCACCCAUAAAGUGCUUCAAAAGGAGUUAUACCUAUGCUAGAAUGAAAACUAUUGUUGUAGGCAAAUUCUAUCAAGGACAAAUUUUUAUCCCAACUCCCUCUGAAUUGCAUAGCACAUGAUCUCAACAUAUCCUCCAUGGUUUGAAUAGUCCUCUCAGAUUGCCCGUCCGUUUGAGGAUGAAAAGCUGUGCUGAAGUGCAACUGAGUGCCCAAAGCUGCCUGGAAAGCUCCCCAGAAUUUAGAAACAAAUCUAGGAUCCUGAUCAGAAACAAUAGAUUCAGGCACACCAUGGAGUCUCACAAUUUUAUUCACAUAAAGUUCUGCCAAUUUAUUCAAUUUAUAUUUCUUCCCCAUUGGCAGAAAAUUUGCUGACUUUGUUAAUCGAUCCACAAUCACCCAAAUACCAUCAUGCCCAUCAUGGGUAUGAGGUAAGCUAAAAACAAAAUCCAUGGCAAUGUGGUCCCACUUCCAUAUAGGAAUAGGCAAUGGCUCUAGUAGACCAGAAGGUUUCUGCCUCUCAGCUUUGACUUGUUAACAAAUCAAACACUUACUUACAUAAGCGGUAAUCUCUCUUUCCAUAUUUGGCCACCAAUAAAAAUCUUUCAAGGUCCUAUACAUUUUAGUACUAUCAGGAUGUGCAGCAUAAGCAGAACUAUGAGCUUCCUCCAUUAUCUCUUGCUUCAAUUCCAAAUUUCUCUUCGGAACACAUAGCCUGUUUUUAAACAACAAGGCUCCAUCUCUCCUAACAGAAAAAUCCCUUGCCGUUCCAUUAAGUGCUUUUUGUAUCAACCGAACUAUGGAAUGAUCAUUAUACUGAGCCUCGUGCACUUUAUCAAUCAAAACUGGCCUCACAUGAAAACUGGCUACCAAAGCACCAAACUCAUCUACUGACAAGUCCACUCAUGUAGCUUGCAACUCAUAAAGAAGUGGAACCCGAACCAUCCUCAAAUAAGCUAAGGACAUAGAAGGAUGGCGACUAAGAGCAUCCGCUACAACAUUAGCUUUUCCAGGAUGAUACUCAAUAAUACAAUCAUAAUCUUUAAUCAACUCCAUCCACCUUCUUUGCCUCAUAUUUAAUUCUCUCUGAGUGAACACAUACCGAAGGCUCUUAUGGUCGGUAAAGAUCUGGCACUUGGCUCCAUAGAGAUAAUGUCUCCAUAAUUUCAAUGCAAAAACCACUGCAGCAAGCUCUAGGUCGUGGGGGGUGUAAUUCCCUUCAUGCGGCUUCAAUUGCCUAGAAGCGUAGGCAAUUACUCUUUCAUGUUGCAUCAACACACCACCCAAACCUUGCCUGGAAGCAUCGCAAUAAACCACAUACUCCCCACUAUCAUCAAGGAGUGCUAGAACUGGAGCACUAGUUAAAUGAUCCUUGAUACCAUUAUUAGAUGGUUUUCAGAAAUCUAUUAAGCCAUCUAACCUUUAGUUUUAGAUCUAUUCCAUAAACACACAAACACACAUGCAUAUAUUCAAGAACACUUAAAGAAAUUCUGCAGACUUUAGUUAUCCUAGAUGAACCAGGAAUGUACCUUCAUUAUACCUCCAAUCAACUUUAACAACAACGUUGUUCGAUGACACCAUCUUGACCUUCUUCUGCAACCGCAGCACACAGAAAGAGAUAACUUGAUGGAGAUUCUAGCCUUCUGUGUUUCUGUACCAAAUAGCAAGCACAAUGGGAUUCCUUCUUGAUGCAAAAACGGUAAAGAACACAGGGACUUAGCCUCCUUUAUAUAGUGAUCACAAACCGGAUUCAAUCCCAUAACCAAAUCUGUCACACCCCAAUUUUCGAAGGAUAAUUUUCAAAAAUUUUGGCAUGAUAUAACUUGAAAUAUUAAAAUCCCAAAACCUGUUUCAAACAAUUUCAAGGAAAACUAAAACUCAAUGCGGAAAUGUAAAUAUUUCACAAUUCAACACUGAGUUAAAUAUUAUAUUUUCAUGUUUACAUAGACUUGAAAGUCAAGAAAAUGAAAAUACUAACAUGAGCACUACGUCUUUUUUGGCUUCAGACGACUUGGAUCAAACGACAAAAUACGUAUUUGCUGUCGUCUGAUACAUUCAGACGACACACAUUUAAAUAUAUGUCGUCUGAAUGUAGCAACUCACAGACAACUUAAAUUAGCAUGUUCAUGAGAUGACAGACAUCUGUCGUCUUAAAACAACCCCAAAUUUGCAAUAUAAUGGUUCGAUCUAAGACGACACUCUUCUGUCAUCUCUAUAUUGACAUAAAUAUCUAAUAUUUUUUUGGUACAACGAAUGUCUUUUUUUAGACACUUUAUAGACCCUAUCUUCCCGAUAAUUUGUUUGAAGUUCUCAAUUGAGUGAUCUUUCUCACAACUGAAACCUCUCUUCCUCUCUUCCUCACAAACCAAAUUCUCUCAUAUAUCUCCUCAUUCUCAAACUGAUCGAAUCCUCUCUUCUAUAUCUAACCCUCAAACCAAUUCCUCUCAUCUUCGGAGACCCAGAUCUGAAAACCCCAAAUUUCAACCUCCCAAACCCUAAAAGCUCCAAACCCUCGCAAACCAUGUCCGCCGCCUAAACCACCACCCAGAAGAAGCGCGCAGCCGAGCCCGAGCUCAUCAAGUCUGAUACACCCCGAAUCUAGUAAUUAUUUUUAUACUGUGGUAUCCGUUUUACUUGUAGUUAAUCAAUUCGGAAAUUUGUUUUAUUUUAUAUGGAGGUGGUGUAGACAAACUUGUAGACUUUUAGUUACUCGAAUAAGAGUCGUAGGUAAAGGUUCUAGCUAAAUAAUAAGACUUUCCAUAUGUGGGCUGGGGUUUUUAAGUGAGGCCUUCCGGUUAUGUUUGGGAACAAAAUAGAAAAGUCAACAACUCCCUCCACUCUCUCUCUCCCCGAGCCGAGCCCAAGCCCGACCCAUCCAAUUUCUCUCCGACAGAUCGCCGUCGUCCGACCACGUCUGACCGCCGGACCGGUCCUGUUCGGCAGCUGGGACUCCGCUCGACGUCUCUGGGGUGGUAGUUGUCCUCCUCUCUCCGGCAGCAGCUCACCGGAGCGCUGUCAAGCCGCCGGUUUUGAGGAGCCGGGACUCCUUUAUCCGGCCACCAAUCGGGAAACUGAAGGUAGGGUUUUGAUGCACUCUUGUUGGUUAGUCUUUCCCCUAAAGGUAGGAGAUCGAUUGGGAGUAUAUAGCAAAUCGGGGGUUUUGUGUUCUUGAGCUUGUGAGGUGUUUUCCGGCCAAACCCUUGAUUUGUGGGUUUUGUGUUAGUUAUAAUUGUUGUUAUACUUGAUGAGAGGAAGAGUUUGGUGUACACUUUGUUAAUUUUGGUCGGAGUUAUGGGAGUGAUGGUGGUUGACCUCCACUGCCGGCAGUUGACCGCCACUGCCGGUGGCUGCUGCCGGUUUUGGUGGUGGUUUUGAGUAAUUUUGCAUGGUUUUUAGAAGAGAUAAAUGUUGUUGUAUGGUAUAGUGAUUUUUUUUUGGUGAAGAGUGUUUGGAAUUUGGGAUAGUUUUAGUGGCUCCAUGAAUGAGAAAUGAGUGGUAAUGAAGUAUUGAAAAUUAUGGUAUUUGUUGGUAGGAAUUUAGGAAAUUUUUAAGUUGAUUUUGGUGAAAAAGUAGAGGUGAGCCUCAUCCAUGGAAAUUUCCAUAUUUAUAUUUAUAUGUUAGAACGUUGAGGGAAAAUUGGAGAUGAUUAGUAAAAAUAAGGUUGGAGUUCCUCUUAGGUUUGGGUGUGUAGAGGGAGUGAGGAAGACUUUACCUUACUCUGUUAAAAUUGUUAUUUUUGAGUUAUUGUCUCGGACAUUAAAUCUCGUUUUGUACAGGACGAGAGGAGACACCACGUGAGGAGGGCUCUGACCGACGUCAGGCUUAGCCAUCUAUAUUGUGAGUGGACACUUUGUUUUUAAUGGAAUAUGCAUGCAUGAUUGGAGAUUUGAAAUAUGUGGGUUAUUUGGCUUAAUUAUUACUUUGAGCAUUUUAACGUGUGGGACACGUUAUUAAAUUUAAUUUAUUUCUUUUCUCUUGGAAUUUUCUGAGCACUGUUGGGAAUCGUACUUCUGUUUUAAAGAUGAGUUUCGGGGAAACUCACAUGAAAUUAUAUUUUCCUUUCUUAUGCCAUAUUUGUUGGAUUAUAUGAUGUCAAUGCUAGUAUGUCGUUCCACCUUUCGAGGUCAUGUGACUCCCACGCUUCAAGUGGGGUCACGCAAGCCCUUUUCACCCUAGUGGUGAUGUGAUGUUGCCGGCGGCAUCACGCAAGCCCUGUACCCUAUCCGUCAACUUGACGUGAAGGUACAGGAAGUAUGGGAGUACUAUGCCUGGGAGGCAACCGAGUCUGGGAGACUCACUUAUAUGGCCAUAUAAGAUAUUUUACUUGAGUUGUUAAUUUGACUAGCCCAUUAUUUUGGAAGUUUCUUAUAUGAAGAAUCCGUUUAUUUUUCUUAUUGCUUUAUGACUAGCGGGGCUAGUGUGAAUUUUGUUGAGAUUAUAAUAUUUGCAUGCAUAGAAAUUCUUAAAUUUCGUAUAAAUGGAAAAGCAUAUAAAAAUUUGAUUUUGUAUUAUUCUGUUCCUGGAUACAUAUUAAUUAGUUUAUUUUUCGUCCACUCACGCUAACGUUUUUAAAUGCUUUUUCCUGGGCCCUUUGUUUUCAAAUGCCCAGAUUGCAGAGCUCCUGUUCGGUUUCCUUAGGAGUUGAGGCAUAGAUUUCCCGCUGCUCCUUGCUGAUCGUAGGUUACCUGCUAACCUAUGUGUAGUUGUUUUAUUUUCCUUCCUUAGUGCUCUGAGAACCAUGGGAUUAUGUAAAUUAAGUUGAAGUGUUUUUUUUUCAGGUCUACGACCCAAGUAGAGAGUUUAAUCUCGAUUGAUGUUCAUGUUUAAGUAAUGCAGUUGAAUAUUUGGUUUGGGUUGUUUAAAU
rnacentral:lncRNA from 1 species